rnacentral:rRNA from 3 species
AGGGUGAGUCGACCCCUAAGGCGAGGCCGAAAGGCGUAGUCGAUGGGAAACGGGUUAAUAUUCCCGUACUUGGUGUUACUGCGAAGGGGGGACGGAGAAGGCUAUGUUGGCCGGGCGACGGUUGUCCCGGUUUAAGCGUGUAGGUGUGUGUUCCAGGUAAAUCCGGUUCACUUUAACACUGAGGCGUGACGACGAGGCACUACGGUGCUGAAGCAACAAAUGCCCUGCUUCCAGGAAAAGCCUCUAAGCAUCAGGUAACAUCAAAUCGUACCCCAAACCGACACAGGUGGUCAGGUAGAGAAUACCAAGGCGCUUGAGAGAACUCGGGUGAAGGAACUAGGCAAAAUGGUGCCGUAACUUCGGGAGAAGGCACGCUGACACGUAGGUGAAGUGAUUUACUCAUGGAGCUGAAGUCAGUCGAAGAUACCAGCUGGCUGCAACUGUUUAUUAAAAACACAGCACUGUGCAAACACGAAAGUGGACGUAUACGGUGUGACGCCUGCCCGGUGCCGGAAGGUUAAUUGAUGGGGUCAGCGCAAGCGAAGCUCCUGAUCGAAGCCCCGGUAAACGGCGGCCGUAACUAUAACGGUCCUAAGGUAGCGAAAUUCCUUGUCGGGUAAGUUCCGACCUGCACGAAUGGCGUAAUGAUGGCCAGGCUGUCUCCACCCGAGACUCAGUGAAAUUGAACUCGCUGUGAAGAUGCAGUGUACCCGCGGCAAGACGGAAAGACCCCGUGAACCUUUACUAUAGCUUGACACUGAACAUUGAGCCUUGAUGUGUAGGAUAGGUGGGAGGCUUUGAAGUGUGGACGCCAGUCUGCAUGGAGCCGACCUUGAAAUACCACCCUUUAAUGUUUGAUGUUCUAACGUGGACCCGUUACCCGGGUUGCGGACAGUGUCUGGUGGGUAGUUUGACUGGGGCGGUCUCCUCCUAAAGAGUAACGGAGGAGCACGAAGGUUGGCUAAUCCUGGUCGGACAUCAGGAGGUUAGUGCAAUGGCAUAAGCCAGCUUGACUGCGAGCGUGACGGCGCGAGCAGGUGCGAAAGCAGGUCAUAGUGAUCCGGUGGUUCUGAAUGGAAGGGCCAUCGCUCAACGGAUAAAAGGUACUCCGGGGAUAACAGGCUGAUACCGCCCAAGAGUUCAUAUCGACGGCGGUGUUUGGCACCUCGAUGUCGGCUCAUCACAUCCUGGGGCUGAAGUAGGUCCCAAGGGUAUGGCUGUUCGCCAUUUAAAGUGGUACGCGAGCUGGGUUUAGAACGUCGUGAGACAGUUCGGUCCCUAUCUGCCGUGGGCGCUGGAGAACUGAGGGGGGCUGCUCCUAGUACGAGAGGACCGGAGUGGACGCAUCACUGGUGUUCGGGUUGUCAUGCCAAUGGCACUGCCCGGUAGCUAAAUGCGGAAGAGAUAAGUGCUGAAAGCAUCUAAGCACGAAACUUGCCCCGA